rnacentral:tRNA from 1 species
CGGUGCGGUGGGCCAGGACGGCGGCGGUCUUCUGCUCCAGCCAGGGGGUGACGUCGACGGUCGCCGUGAUCCGGUCGUCCGGGACGGUGUGCAUCGUC